rnacentral:rRNA from 1 species
CAAUAGCGUAUAUUAAAGUUGUUGCAGUUAAAACGCUCGUAGUCGGAUUUCGGGGCCUGCCUGCCGGUCUGCCGAUGGGUAUGCACUGGCAGGCGCGUCCUUCCUUCCGGAGACUGUCCCUACUCUUAACUGAGCGGGGUCGGGAGACGGAUCGUUUACUUUGAAAAAAUCAGAGUGUUUCAAGCAGGCAGCUCGCUCUUGCAUGGAUUAGCAUGGGAUAAUGAAAUAGGACUUUGGUGCUAUUUUGUUGGUUUCGAACACCGAAGUAAUGAUUAACAGGGACAGUCAGGGGCACUCGUAUUCCGCCGAGAGAGGUGAAAUUCUCAGACCAGCGGAAGACGAACCACUGCGAAAGCAUUUGCCAGGGAUGUUUUCACUGA